rnacentral:rRNA from 1 species
UACAGAGGGGGGCAAGCGUUGUCCGGAAUUACUGGGCGUACAGCGCGCGCAGGCGGUUGCCGACGUGCCGUGUGACAAACGGGCUCAACCCGAGGGCCCACGGUAAACGGGCGACUGGAGGACGGAGAGGAUGUGGAAUGCCGGUGGAGCGGUGAAUGCGCAGAUAUCAGGAGGAACACCGGUGGCGAAGGCGGUUCUCUGGCAUGUCC